rnacentral:rRNA from 1 species
GUUCAGUGGCGCAAGGGUGCGUAACACGUGGGCAAUCUGCCGGGAAGUGGGGGAUAGCUCGCCGAAAGGCGAGUUAAUACCCCAUGCGGCCAGGGAGGACAUCCUCCUGAAGCCAAAGUCGGGGCAACCUGACGCUUCCUGAUGGGCCCGCGGCCUAUCAGCUUGUUGGUGAGGUAACGGCUCACCAAGGCUAUGAUGGGUAGCUGGUCUGAGAGGACGACCAGCCACACUGGAACUGAGACACGGUCCAGACACCUACGGGUGGCAGCAGUCGAGAAUUUUUCUCAAUGGGCGAAAGCCUGAAGGAGCGACGCCGCGUGGAGGAUGAAGGUCUUCGGAUUGUAAACUCCUGUCAUUAGGGAACAAGUGGCGCGAUAGUAACUGCUCGCGCCUUGAUAGUACCUGAAGAGGAAGAGACGGCUAACUCUGUGCCAGCAGCCGCGGUAAUACAGAGGUCUCAAGCGUUGUUCGGAUUCAUUGGGCGUAAAGGGUGCGUAGGUGGUGUCGUAAGUCGGAUGUGAAAUCUCGGGGCUUAACCCCGAAACUGCAUUCGAUACUGCGGUGCUCGAGGACUGGAGAGGAGAUCGGAAUUCACGGUGUAGCAGUGAAAUGCGUAGAUAUCGUGAGGAAGGCCAGUGGCGAAGGCGGAUCUCUGGACAGUUCCUGACACUGAGGCACGAAGGCCAGGGGAGCAAACGGGAUUAGAUACCCCGGUAGUCCUGGCAGUAAACGGUGCACGUUUGG